UACGAAGGGGGCUAGCGUUGUUCGGAAUUACUGGGCGUAAAGCGCACGUAGGCGGAUAUUUAAGUCAGGGGUGAAAUCCCAGAGCUCAACUCUGGAACUGCCUUUGAUACUGGGUAUCUUGAGUAUGGAAGAGGUAAGUGGAAUUGCGAGUGUAGAGGUGAAAUUCGUAGAUAUUCGCAGGAACACCAGUGGCGAAGGCGGAGCUUA
rnacentral:rRNA from 1 species